UUAACUUUUGGACCAUCGGUCUACCGAGCUAUAUAACCCGCUCAGUGGAAGAUCUUCCCUUUGACUU
rnacentral:pre_miRNA from 1 species